rnacentral:rRNA from 1 species
GACGAACGCUGGCGGCGUGCUUAACACAUGCAAGUCGAACGGAAAGGCCCUGCUUGUGUGGGGUUCUCGAGUGGCGAACGGGUGAGUAACACGUGAGUAACCUGCCCUUGACUUUGGGAUAACUUCAGGAAACUGGGGCUAAUACCGGAUAGGAGCUCCUGCUGCAUUGUGGGGGUUGGAAAGUUUCGGCGGUUGGGGAUGGACGCGCGGCUUAUCAGCUUGUUGGUGGGGUAGGGGCUUACCAAGGCUUUGACGGGUAGCCGGCCUGAGAGGGUGACCGGCCACAUUGGGCCUGAGAGACGGCCCAGACGCCUACGGGAGGCAGCAGUGGGGAAUAUUGCACAAUGGGCGGAAGCGUGAUGCAGCAACGCCGCGUGCGGGAUGACGGCCUUCGGGUUGUAAACAGCUUUCGCCUGUGACGCAGCGUGAGUGACGGUAAUGGGUAAAGAAGCACCGGCUAACUACGUG